rnacentral:tRNA from 1 species
UGGCUCAGUGGUAGAGUACUUGCCUUGCAUGCAUGAGGCCCUGGGUUUGAUUCCUAA